GCAUGCAUGUAUUUCAUAAUAUUCAUAAAUAUGAUUAAUUGAAUGAGUGUUCCAACUACAAACGUAAAAAUGCACAAGUUGUAACAAACCUGCAGCAGACUUGUAGCAAUGCUGUUCCAACAACUUGUCAACAGGAUGUGUUCGCACUGCUUGUUCCCAACUUGCUGACAAGUUGUCAACGGCUUGUUGACAACUUGCUACAAGGUUGUUGAGUUCAACAGACUUGUUACAAGUUGUUCCAACAACUUGUUAUCGUCCUGCAAUUCAACAACUUGUCAACAAGUUGCCAGUGACAAGCUUGUAGCAACUUGAUAAAAUAACAGCAUUGUUAGAACUCGUUUGAGAAGCUUGCUACAAGCCUAUUGCGAGCACAUCUUGUUGACAAGUUGUGACAUUUUUUCGUGUGUACGUUUUGACUUAAAUAGAAUCCAUGAUAGUGUUGGGAAAGCAUUAAGAACAGCUAACCAAGGUCGAGUGACUGCCAACUCUCAAACACUCUCAUCCUCGUUUCAUCCGGCCUAAAUCUAAAAGGUCUUUUUGUGCCAAUUUCGCACGCAGCUAGCGGUCAUAUUACACACGCAACACUAAAGGAAUACCGAAUGGUUUUCCGUGCAGGAUUGCGUGAUCCAUGAUGCACGAGGGAUGAUCGUGAUCCACUUUGCGUGAUCCAUGAUGCACGAGGCAUGAAGGAUUUUCAGAAGCGUAAAAUACUCGAGCCGCAGGUGAGUGUAUUUUUACGCUUUCCGAAAGUCGAGCAGCAUCCCAAGUGCAUGGAUCACGCUAUCCUGCUUGGAAAACCAUUUGGUAAUUGUUUUAUAAAAUAACUACAGUGAAACAAUGACAUUUUGAGAAUCGUGCAGGAUAGCCUUAUAUAUAACCUGCACGGCUAUUCACCAAUCAAAUUGCGUGUUUCACUGUAGUUAUUAUAUAAUACACAUAUCAUAG